rnacentral:rRNA from 1 species
GACGAACCGAGCGAACGUUGUUCGGAAUCACUGGGCUUAAAGGGCGCGUAGGCGGGCCUGCCAGUCUGUGGUGAAAUCCUCCGGCUCAACCGGAGAACUGCCUCGGAUACUGCGGGUCUCGAGGGUGAUAGGGGUAUGCGGAACUAUCGGUGGAGCGGUGAAAUGCGUUGAUAUCGAUAGGAACUCCGGUGGCGAAGGCGGCAUACUGGAUCACUUCUGACGCUGAGGCGCGAAAGCCAGGGGAGCAAACGGG